GCCCCCGUAGCUCAGCUGGAUAGAGCGGCGGCCUUCUAAUCCGCGGGUCACAGGUUCGAAUCCUGUCGGGGGCG
rnacentral:tRNA from 2 species